GGAGGUGGAUGGGGACCGGUGUCUCCCCCGGCCUUCAAAGCCGCGCGUUUCGGUGUAAACACCGAAAGGUGGGUUCGACUCCCACGCACCUCC
rnacentral:tRNA from 1 species